rnacentral:SRP_RNA from 12 species
GGGCCAGGGGUGAGAGGCAGCAACAGCAGCUGGCCUUGGUG